rnacentral:miRNA from 1 species
CAAUGGAUGUUAUCUUCC